rnacentral:rRNA from 1 species
GAUAAACGCUAGCGGCAGGCCUAACACAUGCAAGUCGAGGGGUAACGAUGUCUUCGGACAGUCGACGACCGGCGCACGGGUGAGUAUCGCGUUUGUAACCUACCUUUAACUGGAGAAUAGCCCGAAGAAAUUCGGAUUAAUACUCCAUAAUACUAUGAACUGGCAUCUUUUUAUAGUUAAAGCUCCGGCGGUUAAAGAUGGGCAUGCGUAACAUUAGUUUGUUGGGGAGGUAACGGCUCACCAAGACUACGAUGUUUAGGGGGUCUGAGAGGAUGGUCCCCCACACUGGUACUGAGACACGGACCAGACUCCUACGGGAGGCAGCAGUGAGGAAUAUUGGUCAAUGGGCGAAAGCCUGAACCAGCCAUGCCGCGUGAAGGAUGACAGCGCUACGCGUUGUAAACUUCUUUUGUACAGGAAGAAACACUUCUACGUGUAGAAGC